AAACAAUUGCUUAUAUAUGGUUGUACCUCCAUUCGUCCUGUGUGUGUGUGGUCUCGCGUGCUCUGCCGUUGUUGGUUCCGGCACCUCUGGUGUUGUAAGCCUGACUCUGUUUUGAUCUCCAUUUCUGUUUUGGGCGGUUGCUUUAAGUUGGCGAUGUAAGACUGACUUUGUUUCGAUCUCCAUUUGUGAGGACUGAACUUGGUGUUCAAGUUGGUGAUUCGUAAGACAAACUCCUCCAUUCGGAUCUCCCUCACUGACGAAACUGAUUUUGGCUAUUGAUACCAAGGACCGAUGGAGGAUUUAGGAAUUCCAAGCUGGAGUUCAGCUGAAGGUUUUUCGUCGAAUGGUAAAGGCAAAAGCGUUGUUGUUGCUGGCAUUCUUUCAUCACCUACAAUCACCCCUUGUGAGUCAAUUGGUGAGGAUGAAAUUGGCGGAGGUGUGGCGGUGAAUAGUAUGGAUGAUGCAGCGCAUACUCUGUGGGAUUGUCUGAACGAGAAUGAGUUUAAGAAGUAUCACUUUUUAAACCGGCAAGUAGCAUUUGAGUUCUACAACAUCUAUGCUAGAGUGAAGGGAUUCUCGAUACGAAAAAAACAAAAUUUUGAGAAACAAGCAAGGUGAGAUUGUGCAGCAAGAUUUGGAGUGUCACAAGGAAGGCUUUCGUGAGGAGAAAAACAGAAUUAGGCCAAAUCGGAAGCGGGAAACAAAAAUUGAGACAAGGUGUGGAUGCACCGCCAAAAUGAGCAACAUGCACUUUGUCUUGUAGCAGAAAAUUGUGAUAAAGAUUGCUUUUUCUCUCGUUUCUCUGCAAAAAUCGACUUGUCAUGGAACCCCAAAAACAGUAGGUGAAGACCCCUUUCAUAGGGGAUUUGGAAUGUACUUGAGACCAAAUCAGGUAAAUACGAAGGACUUUAUCUACAUUAGCAGAAGGUUUUAUUCACAUUGAGAGCACGUAAUAGCUGGUCAUGACGUUUUAGCAGCAGAUCCCAAUGGAAAUUCUAGGCAGUUGACAGUAGGAUUAAAGCACGACAGGCCUGCGUUUACCACCGGAGUUGAACAAUUAGCUAUUUUAAGCUCCGCAUGUUUCGUAACAAUGAAAAUGGACCUGAGAUUAAGUACCCUAGUGACCCUCCAGUUAUCAACCUUAUCUCUGAUUCAGACUCUGAACCUGAGGACAACGUUCCAGUCUUACCUAAACAACAAGUCUUUCAAUGGGAAAAGGGUGUGACUAGUAGGUUUGUUGAUGGUAGAGCACCUUUGCAUUUACCUGCAAGGGUUGCAGGGAUAGUCCUACUUAAUGGAAUGACAACCUUAAAUGUGAGCGUGCUGCAGACAGAAUUGACUGCAGAAUGUGAAAUAUUUCCCCAAACAAGAAGCAAGAAUGAAGCAUAUUUGAUGAUGGGUUGGUAUGUGUUGUGCAAGGACUCAAACCUGUCUACUGGGAACACACCCAACCGUAAUUGCUCCUGCGUGUCAUGCGCGGCAAUUAGAAAUCCUUUAUGUUUAAAUUCUUCUUGUUUUGUUUAUGGCUACCUUGUUAACAAACUACUAUCUCAUCCUACUAUCAAACUUGUUAUUCACACUUUUAUGUAUCAGAUCUUGUGACCCUUGUUUUCACCUUUUCAAAUUCAGUAUUUUGAUGCAA